UUUCCGUAGGUGAACCUGCGGAAGGAUCAUUCGUAAUAAAGUGUUUUAUGGCACUUUUUAAAAAUCCAUUUCCACCUUGUGUGCAAUGUUAGAUCUCGUCAAUCUUGGCGAGAUUUUUAUACAUCAACUCAUUCUUUAACUAAUUUGUCUGAAAAAUAUUAUGAAUACUUAAUUCAAAAUACAACUUUCAACAACGGAUCUCUUGGCUCUC
rnacentral:misc_RNA from 1 species